UGCGUUUGAGACUAGCGUCAGCCGAUAGGCGAGACGAUGUCUCAUAUUUAAAUGAGAUGCAAAUAGCACAAACACGUGGACACGCGGAUCGGUUUCAUUCCACAGCCGGGCAGAAAGUCAACUCGCAACUGUUUUUAUUCACGACAUAGACGUUUUUUUGAAUACCUCUCAAGAUCGGGGAGGAUGUUGUUGGCAAGUUCCAUGCACUGCACAGGCCAACCGAUCAUGACGUUUGACAGAGGCUUCCUACAAGGAGCUGGGAGGCCAGACAAGGAUUUUCUGCCUAGAGCCAGUGACUCAGAGCCCCCCUGACUGAGAAACGGACGUCCCGCUGACCAGGGACAUGUCACAUGAAAGGGCCCACAGCCUCCGUUGUUUACUGGGCACAUUGCUGUAUUACGCAGCCUGCCAGCUGAGAGGACAAUGGCAACAUAAAGCAGGUCUGAUAGUCAUCUCUGGCUGGUAUGGCGUUCUUUAAAACAUUCCCACUUUUCUUCCCCUUGGAAGAGUUUCAUUGAAACACAAGAAUAAAAACUGUGGCUCUGUGGUGGACUUGAAUGCGUACAGACUCAUUAAGGACUCAUGAAGAUCAUGGGAAAGUACUUCUCUAGGGUUAUUUUUAUAGACACAUAUUUUAGGGACCUGAUUCCAGUGUGUCAGAAUAUAAUUACAAUAACGAUUAUAUUGUAGUUAUAUCUAAUCUUUUUUAGCAUCCAGC